AUGGGGCCUCGCCCGCCUCGCCUCUCCCUGUCUGUCAUCAUCAAGGCCACCGCGGCGUGUGCGGAUCCGCCAAUCAGACGCGCGCCCGCGCCUUUACGCGGACAAAAGUUGCACCGAACCAAAGCAACCGCAUCGCAUCUCAUCCCAUCCGCGCGCACGCAGACUCUGUUUUGGUUGGAUUCACCCCUCUGCUCCUCUCCGUACCGCGCGAGUCCAGCGAGUCCGUGGCCGCUAGCCCGGUGGUGGUGCCGUCGCUAUAAGGGCACCCAGCUAGCCACACGCACGGCUCCGUCAAGGCCUUGGCACGGUGCUCUGUACGUUCCGGGCUGA
rnacentral:rRNA from 1 species